UACGGAGGGGGCUAGCGUUGUUCGGAAUUACUGGGCGUAAAGCGCGCGUAGGCGGACCUGCAAGUCGGGGGUGAAAGCCCGAGGCUCAACCUCGGAACUGCCUUCGAUACUGCGGGUCUCGAGUCCGGGAGAGGUGAGUGGAAUUCCUAGUGUAGAGGUGAAAUUCGUAGAUAUUAGGAAGAACACCAGUGGCGAAGGCGGUGCUCUGGGCUGGAACUGACGCUGAUGGACGAAAGCGUGGGUAGCAAACAGG
rnacentral:rRNA from 1 species